AGCCAUGUGAUAAGCACAAAGCGAAUUAUUCUUUCGCCUUUUACUAAAGAAUACUGUGUGUUUGUCACUACAAGUGGCAUACGUCUAUUUUCAUUAAUUACUAUUGUUCUCUAUGUA